AUGGUCAUAUAGAUUUGAAACACCAGUUCCCAUAUGAUCACAGAAGUUAAGCAACAUUGAGCCUAGUCAGUACCUAAAUGGGUGACUGCUUGGGAAUACCAGGUGCUGUAAG
rnacentral:rRNA from 1 species